GACGAACGCUGGCGGCGUGCCUAAUACAUGCAAGUUGAGCGCUGAAGGUUGGUACUUGUACCAACUGGAUGAGCAGCGAACGGGUGAGUAACGCGUGGGGAAUCUGCCUUUGAGCGGGGGACAACAUUUGGAAACGAAUGCUAAUACCGCAUAAAAACUUUAAACACAAGUUUUAAGUUUGAAAGAUGCAAUUGCAUCACUCAAAGAUGAUCCCGCGUUGUAUUAGCUAGUUGGUGAGGUAAAGGCUCACCAAGGCGAUGAUACAUAGCCGACCUGAGAGGGUGAUCGGCCACAUUGGGACUGAGACACGGCCCAAACUCCUACGGGAGGCAGCAGUAGGGAAUCUUCGGCAAUAGACGAAAGUCUGACCGAGCAACGCCGCGUGAGUGAAGAAGGUUUUCGGAUCGUAAAACUCUGUUGGUAGAGAAGAACGUUGGUGAGAGUGGAAAGCUCAUCAAGUGACGGUAACUACCCAGAAAGGGACGGCUAACUACGUA
rnacentral:rRNA from 1 species